rnacentral:rRNA from 1 species
GACGAACGCUGACGGUGUGCUUUAGACAUGCAAGUCGAACGAGAAAGCCCUUCGGGGUUAGUAAAGUGGCGAACGGGUGAGUAACACGUGGGCAAUCUGCCCCUCGCAGGGGGACGAACCGGACGGAAACCCCGGCCUAAUACCCCGUAACGUUCAAAGGGAGGGCAUCUCCCCUUCGAAGAAAGGUAGCUUCGGCCAUCCGGCGAGGGAUGAGCCCGCGGUGCAUUAGCUAGUUGGUGGGGUAACGGCCCACCAAGGCGACGAUGCAUAGCUGGUCUGAGAGGAUGACCAGCCACACUGGGACUGAGACACGGCCCAGACUCCUACGGGAGGCAGCAGUCGGGAAUCUUGCGCAAUGGGCGAAAGCCUGACGCAGCAACACCGUGUGUGUGAGGAAGGCCCUCGGGUCGU